rnacentral:rRNA from 1 species
CGUCACCUACGGGGGGCAGCAGUGGGGAAUAUUGCACAAUGGGGGAAACCCUGAUGCAGCAACGCCGCGUGAGUGAAGAAGUAUUUCGGUAUGUAAAGCUCUAUCAGCAGGGAAGAAGAAAGACGGUACCUGACUAAGAAGCCCCGGCUAACUACGUGCCAGCAGCCGCGGUAAUACGUAGGGGGCAAGCGUUAUCCGGAUUUACUGGGUGUAAAGGGAGCGUAGGUGGCAGGGCAAGUCAGAUGUGAAAACCCGGGGCUCAACUCCGGGAGUGCAUUUGAAACUGUCCAGCUAGAGUGCAGGAG